AUACUUCCUGGGACAGGAGAUACCGUUCACGAAGGGGGUUUUCCCAGGGGGAGGCUCACCAUUGCACUCCGGGGGCGCUGACCCCCGCAUUAACCCAAAUGGGGUUUAAAACCGAUGCGAAAUUUUUUUGGGGGGGGGGGGGGAGGUUUCGCGCUACCCCCAU